ACACUCCUGCGGGAGGCAGCAGUGGGGAAUUUUGGACAAUGGGCGAAAGCCUGAUCCAGCAAUGCCGCGUGUGUGAAGAAGGCCUUCGGGUUGUAAAGCACUUUUGUCCGGAAAGAAAUCCUUGGCUCUAAUACAGUCGGGGGAUGACGGUACCGGAAGAAUAAGCACCGGCUAACUACGUGCCAGCAGCCGCGGUAAUACGUAGGGUGCGAGCGUUAAUCGGAAUUACUGGGCGUAAAGCGUGCGCAGGCGGUUUGCUAAGACCGAUGUGAAAUCCCCGGGCUCAACCUGGGAACUGCAUUGGUGACUGGCAGGCUAGAGUAUGGCAGAGGGGGGUAGAAUGCCACGUGUAGCAGUGAAAUGCGUAGAGAUGUGGAGGAAUACCGAUGGCGAAGGCAGCCCCCUGGGCCAAUACUGACGCUCAUGCACGAAAGCGUGGGGAGCAAACAGGAUUAGAAACCCCAGUAGUCCCAUGAU
rnacentral:rRNA from 1 species